GACGAACGCUGGCGGCGUGCUUAACACAUGCAAGUCGAGCGGUAAGGCCCUUUCGGGGGUACACGAGCGGCGAACGGGUGAGUAACACGUGGGUGACCUGCCCUCAGCUCUGGGAUAAGCCUGGGAAACUGGGUCUAAUACUGGAUAUGACUCCACGGUGCAUGUCGUGGGGUGGAAAGCCUUGUGCGGCUGAGGAUGGGCCCG
rnacentral:rRNA from 1 species